UGGGGAAUUUUGGACAAUGGGGGAAACCCUGAUCCAGCCAUCCCGCGUGUGCGAUGAAGGCCUUCGGGUUGUAAAGCACUUUUGGCAGGAAAGAAACGUCAUGGGUUAAUACCCCGUGAAACUGACGGUACCUGCAGAAUAAGCACCGGCUAACUACGUGCCAGCAGCCGCGGUAAUACGUAGGGUGCAAGCGUUAAUCGGAAUUACUGGGAGUAAAGCGUGCGCAGGCGGUUCGGAAAGAAAGAUGUGAAAUCCCAGAGCUCAACUUUGGAACUGCAUUUUUAACUACCGGGCUAGAGUGUGUCAGAGGGAGGUGGAAUUCCGCGUGUAGCAGUGAAAUGCGUAGAUAUGCGGAGGAACACCGAUGGCGAAGGCAGCCUCCUGGGAUAACACUGACGCUCAUGCAAGAAAGCGUGGGGAGCAAACAGG
rnacentral:rRNA from 1 species